GCCUUCGUUGCGUAAUGGUCAGCACACUCGAUGUGUAUUCGAGAGGUCCAAGGUUCGAGUCCCGGCGAGGGCU
rfam:Stegodyphus mimosarum contig78965, whole genome shotgun sequence.